rnacentral:pre_miRNA from 1 species
CAGAGUCAGUCUUUUCCUCUUUCCGUUUCGACAGCUUCUGGUAGAUUUCAUCCACAGUUUUAUGCCUGGUUUCUGGGAAGCAGAUGACAGAGUAGAAGCAGGCGAAGAGACUGACUAUA